rnacentral:rRNA from 1 species
CCCGGCACAAGCGUGGAGCAUGUGGUUUAAUUCGAAGCAACGCGAAGAACCUUACCAGGUCUUGACAUCCCGAUGCUAUUUCUAGAGAUAGAAAGUUACUUCGGUACAUCGGUGACAGGUGGUGCAUGGUUGUCGUCAGCUCGUGUCGUGAGAUGUUGGGUUAAGUCCCGCAACGAGCGCAACCCCUAUUGUUAGUUGCCAUCAUUCAGUUGGGCACUCUAGCGAGACUGCCGGUAAUAAACCGGAGGAAGGUGGGGAUGACGUCAAAUCAUCAUGCCCCUUAUGACCUGGGCUACACACGUGCUACAAUGGUUGGUACAGCGAGUUGCGAGUCGGUGACGGCGAGCUAAUCUCUUAAAGCCAAUCUCAGUUCGGAUUGUAGGCUGCAACUCGCCUACAUGAAGUCGGAAUCGCUAGUAAUCGCAGAUCAGAAUGCUGCGGUGAAUGCGUUCCCGGGUCUU